GAUGAACGCUGGCGGCGUGCCUAAUACAUGCAAGUCGAGCGAACAGACGAGGAGCUUGCUCCUCUGAUGUUAGCGGCGGACGGGUGAGUAACACGUGGAUAACCUACCUAUAAGACUGGGAUAACUUCGGGAAACCGGAGCUAAUACCGGAUAACAUGUUGAACCGCAUGGUUCAACAGUGAAAGACGGUCUUGCUGUCACUUAUAGCUGGAUCCGCGCCGCAUUAGCUAGUUGCUAAGGUAACGGCUUACCAAGGCAACGAUGCGUAGCCGACCUGAGAGGGUGAUCGGCCACACUGGAACUGAGACACGGUCCAGCCUCCUACGGGAGGCAGCAGUAGGGAAUCUUCCGCAAUGGGCGAAAGCCUGACGGAGCAACGCCGCGUGAGUGAAGAAGGUCUUCGGAUCGUAAAACUCUGUUAUUAGGGAAGAACAAAUGUGUAAGUAACUAUUCACGUCUUGACGGUACCUAAUCAGAAAGCCACGGCUAACUACGUG
rnacentral:rRNA from 1 species